UCAGGCCUGAUCCAAGUACCAUAUGCUCCACCAGAAUUCAUAACUAUAGCAAAGCCAAAGCUAAAGAUAAAAAAUUACCAAUUUUGUGAAGAUUGCCAAACAAAGCCAAAUGUUAUUUAAUAAUCAACGAGAUUUAAAUCCUAAAUUCACCACCUUUGCUUCAUUUUAAAGAAAAUGUACAGAAAAGAAAAGAAAAAAUGCUUUUGGAUAGGUACAGGAAUCAAGAUACAUAAUGAAAUAUUGGUGUAAAUACGCUACGAGUAUCAAAAGGUGCAUUAGCUACAAGUUGAGGUACCUAGUGCUUG